rnacentral:rRNA from 1 species
UGUGGAUAGCCACCCCAGCCUCAACAUGCCCCAGCUCAUUUGCUAUCGGAAGCUAAGCAGGGCUGAGCCUGGCUAGUACUUAGAUGGAGAUUAUCAGCUAAGAAGAUGUUAUCAUAA